rnacentral:rRNA from 1 species
GGGAUAACGCUCGGAAACGGACGGUAAUCCCGCAUACGUCCUACGGGAGAAAGCAGGGGACCUUUCGGCCUUGCGCUAUCAGAUGAGCCUAGGUCGGAUUAGCUAGUUGGCGCGGUAGCAGCUCACGAAGGCGACGAUCCGUAACUGGUCUGAGAGGAUGAUCAGUCACACUGGAACUGAGACACGGUCCAGACUCCUACGGUAAGCACCAGUGGGGAAUAUUGGACAAUGGGCGAAAGCCUGAUCCAGCCAUGCCGCGUGUGUGAAGAAGGUCUUCGGAUUGUAAAGCACUUUAAGUUGGUAGGUUCGGCAGUUACCUAAUACGUGAUUGUUUUGACGUUCCCGACCGUAUAAGCACCGGCUAACUCUGUGCCAGCAGCCGCGGUAAUACAGAGGGUGCAAGCGUUAAUCGGAAUUACUGGGCGUAAAGCGCGCGUAGGUGGUUUGUUAAGUUGAAUGUGAAAUCCCCGGGCUCAACCUGGAACUGCAUACAAAUCUGGCAAGCUAGAGUAUGGUAGAGGGUGGUGGAAUUUCCUGUGUAGCGGUGAAAUGCGUAGAUAUAGGAAGGAACACCGCUGUCGAAGGCGACCACCUGGACUGAUACUGACACUGAGGUGCGAAAGCGUGGGGAGCAAACAGGAUUAGAUACCCUGGUAGUCCACGCCGUAAACGAUGUCAACUAACCGUUGGGAGCCUUGAGCUCUUAGUGGUGCGGCUGACGCAUUAAGUUGACCGCCUGGGGAGUACGGCCGCAAGGUUAAAACUCAAAUGAAUUGACGGGGGCCCGCACAAGCGGUGGAGGAUGUGGAAUAAUUCGAAGCAACGCGAAGAACCUUACCAGGCCUUGACAUCCAAUGAACUUUCCAGAGAUGGAUUGGUGGCAGCUCGUACAUUGAGACAGGCACUGCAAGGCUGUCGUCAGCUCGUGUCGUGAGAUGUUGGGUUAAGUCCCGCAA